rnacentral:rRNA from 1 species
ACGGGUGAGUAACACGUGGGUAACCUGCCCAUCAGAAGGGGAUAACACUUGGAAACAGGUGCUAAUACCGUAUAACACUAUUUUCCGCAUGGAAGAAAGUUGAAAGGCGCUUUUGCGUCACUGAUGGAUGGACCCGCGGUGCAUUAGCUAGUUGGUGAGGUAACGGCUCACCAAGGCCACGAUGCAUAGCCGACCUGAGAGGGUGAUCGGCCACACUGGGACUGAGACACGGCCCAGACUCCUACGGGAGGCAGCAGUAGGGAAUCUUCGGCAAUGGACGAAAGUCUGACCGAGCAACGCCGCGUGAGUGAAGAAGGUUUUCGGAUCGUAAAACUCUGUUGUUAGAGAAGAACAAGGAUGAGAGUAGAACGUUCAUCCCUUGACGGUAUCUAACCAGAAAGCCACGGCUAACUACGUGCCAGCAGCCGCGGUAAUACGUAGGUGGCAAGCGUUGUCCGGAUUUAUUGGGCGUAAAGCGAGCGCAGGCGGUUUCCUAAGUCUGAUGUGAAAGCCCCCGGCUCAACCGGGGAGGGUCAUUGGAAACUGGGAGACUUGAGUGCAGAAGAGGAGAGUGGAAUUCCAUGUGUAGCGGUGAAAUGCGUAGAUAUAUGGAGGAACACCAGUGGCGAAGGCGGCUCUCUGGUCUGUAACUGACGCUGAGGCUCGAAAGCGUGGGGAGAGAACAGGAUUAGAUACCCUGGUAGUCCACGCCGUAAA